GUUUGGCAGGGAUUGUUACGCACUCUGGGUGGGUAACAUCACCCACAGGAUCAGUGAGAAGGUACUGCAGCGUGCCUUUGGCCGUUUUGGGGAGAUUCGUUUCAUCCGGAUGCUGCCGGAGCGCCGCUGUGCCUUCGUCAACUACAAUCAGAAGAAGGCAGCAGAAGAGGCAUAUGCUGCCAUGAAGGAGGCUGAACUGGAGGGCAGCAGGCUGGUGCUGCAGCUCAAGCAUCCAUCCCAUGCCACCCCCCCUCCUUGGCAGCACCCAAAGGUGGGUGCCUCCCCAGGGAGGCCACAGUAGCCAAAGAGGGGGUUCUCCUCAGCUCACAGCAGCAGAGCUGAACCCCUCCCACAGCGGGGGGCUGCCUUCGCCCUGCCUGUGCCUUUUCCCUCUGCAGGCAGCGGGACCUUGCCACCUUCUGUGGGUCAGGCUUCCCCCAGAGCCUUUGGGGUGGCACCCAGCAGGGUCUCGACUCCCUGGAAGGGAUGGGGUGAGGCUGCACUGCCACACUAACACCUCCCCUACCCGGGAGACAUAGGGGUUGUGCCCACUAUGGGACUGGAGGCCCCAGUGGGUGCCCACCCUGCAGUUCCCAGUGGAAAGGGCAGGGCUGGGGAAGUUAUUCCCCAAUCCUUUGGGGGUUUGUACAGGUUUGGGGUUUUGUAAUAAAGAUGAGAAUGA